rnacentral:rRNA from 1 species
ACUCCUACGGGAGGCAGCAGUGGGGAAUAUUGGGCAAUGGAGGAAACUCUGACCCAGCGACGCCGCGUGCGGGAUGAAGGCCUUCGGGUUGUAAACCGCUUUCAGUAGGGAAGAAGCGAAAGUGACGGUACCUACAGAAGAAGCACCGGCUAACUAUGUGCCAGCAGCCGCGGUAAUACAUAGGGUGCAAGCGUUGUCCGGAAUUAUUGGGCGUAAAGAGCUCGUAGGUGGUUUGAUACGUCGG